AUUCAGCUGACGAAUCCAAUAUAGAACGAAACGCGCGUCUUAGAU
rnacentral:hammerhead_ribozyme from 1 species